rnacentral:tRNA from 1 species
GGGCCCGUAGUCUAGUCGGUUAGGACGCCGCCCUUACACGGCGGAGGUCGCCGGUUCAAAUCCGGCCGGGCCCACCA